AUUGAACGCUGGCGGCAUGCUUUACACAUGCAAGUCGAACGGUAACAGGCCGCAAGGUGCUGACGAGUGGCGAACGGGUGAGUAAUGCAUCGGAACGUGCCCAGUCGUGGGGGAUAACUACUCGAAAGAGUAGCUAAUACCGCAUACGAUCUAUGGAUGAAAGCGGGGGACCGUAAGGCCUCGCGCGAUUGGAGCGGCCGAUGUCAGAGUAGGUAGUUGGUGGGGUAAAGGCUCACCAAGCCCACGAUCUGUAGCUGGUCUGAGAGGACGACCAGCCACACUGGGACUGGACCACGGCCCAGACUCCUACGGGAGGCAGCAGUGGGGAAUUUUGGACAAUGGGCGCAAGCCUGAUCCAGCAAUGCCGCGUGCAGGAAGAAGGCCUUCGGGUUGUAAACUGCUUUUGUACGGAGCGAAACGGCUCUGGUUAAUACCCGGGGCUAAUGACGGUACCGUAAGAAUAAGCACCGGCUAACUACGUG
rnacentral:rRNA from 1 species